rnacentral:rRNA from 1 species
GGCCCGACGUUUGAUCCUGGCUCAGAUUGAACGCUGGCGGCAUGCCUUACACAUGCAAGUCGAACGGCAGCGCGGGGCAACCUGGCGGCGAGUGGCGAACGGGUGAGUAAUAUAUCGGAACGUACCCUGGAGUGGGGGAUAACGUAGCGAAAGUUACGCUAAUACCGCAUACGAUCUAAGGAUGAAAGCAGGGGACCGCAAGGCCUUGUGCUCCUGGAGCGGCCGAUAUCUGAUUAGCUAGUUGGUGGGGUAAAGGCCUACCAAGGCAUCGAUCAGUAGCUGGUCUGAGAGGACGACCAGCCACACUGGAACUGAGACACGGUCCAGACUCCUACGGGAGGCAGCAGUGGGGAAUUUUGGACAAUGGGCGCAAGCCUGAUCCAGCAAUGCCGCGUGAGUGAAGAAGGCCUUCGGGUUGUAAAGCUCUUUUGUCAGGGAAGAAACGGUGAGGGCUAAUAUCCUUUGCUAAUGACGGUACCUGAAGAAUAAGCACCGGCUAACUACGUGCCAGCAGCCGCGGUAAUAAU